rnacentral:rRNA from 1 species
UACAGAGGUCUCAAGCGUUGUUCGGAUUCAUUGGGCGUAAAGGGUGCGUAGGCGGCGCGGUAAGUCGGGUGUGAAAUCUUGGAGCUUAACUCCGAAACUGCAUUCGAUACUGCCGUGCUUGAGGACUGGAGAGGAGACUGGAAUUUACGGUGUAGCGGUGAAAUGCGUAGAUAUCGUAAGGAAGACCAGUGGCGAAGGCGGGUCUCUGGACAGUUCCUGACGCUGGAGGCACGAAGGCCAGGGGAGCAAAACGGG